UUGAGUUAGCAACCCGAAGAAAAUAUCGAAAAAAUUAUGUAGAUCCAAUCCGAAGAAAAAGAAAUAACUAGAUUAGACAAGACAACCAAAAACCAUUGAAAGAAGAAAUCGAAAAAAAUACAUUCACACUUUCGAAUUCAUUUAAAACAUAAAAUAAAACUAAAUAGAUCCACUUCAUUUAUCACAAUGAAUUAUAUUUGUUCGAUACACUGUUGUCAAUAUAAAUAUUGAAUAUUGAAAAAAAAAAAGUGGAAAACAAAACUACAAUUUACUUAAAUUUACUUAGAUUUAUUGAAUUCAUAAUGGAUUCAAUCAAGUUAACUGAGAUAAGCAAACUUGAUUUCAUUCCGAAAUGCCCGAAUUAACUAUUUAGAAGAUCAAUAAAAUAAGAGGUUUUGUCGUUAUAGAACACGGAAUUCACUGGAAGCAAUGAUAAAUAAAUACAAAUAGAAAAGGAAAGGGAGGAAAUACAAAAAAAUAGAAGAGAAAAGUCAUACAAAGUUAUAUACAAAUCACUACCCCCUUUUUUGUAUUUCCUUAAUUUAUUUCCUUAAUUGAAUUUCGGUUGAUUAAGACGAAGUUCCUUAAAAACCUCUGCCUUCUUUAAAAUAUCCUGAACAGUUUCUGUAGGUUGAGCCCCUUUUUCAAGGAAAUAUAAAAUAGCAGGAACAUUUAAAUAAGUUUGAUUCUUUAUCGGAUCAUAAAAACCCACUUUCUGAAGAUCUUUUCCUUCUCUUCGGGAUCGAACAUCAAUUGCAACGAUUCGAUAGACGGCUCAUUGGGAUAGAUGUAGAUGAACAACACCCCCCCUAGAAACGUAUAGGAAGCUUUCUCCUCGUACGGCUCGAGAAAAAUGAUUGAUUCGAAGUUUUGUCUUUGUAUGGAAUUCUAUCUAAGAAAUGACAACUGGAUCCAUAAAAUGAUCAAAGCAAUUAAAGAUCUAAGUCUUUUUUUCUUCGUUCUUCCUUAAAAUGAAAAAUAAACCAUUCGUACUCUCAUAACUCAAGUUGGAUAACUUUCAAACAGUUCAAAGGAAAAUCUUUCGGCAAUUUCAUUUAUUGAGCGGUCUUUCCUCCUUUUUUGUUUGUCUCGUUUAAAAUCGGAUUCUUCAGUCUGAUCCAGUUAUUAAGACAAUUAAAAAGGUGUUUCCUUGUUCUGGGAUCCUUUAUCUUUGUUUUAUUUUAAAUCAUUGGGUUUAGACAUUACUUCGGUGCUUUUUAAUCCUUUCAAAAUGGCAGCAACAUACCCUUUUUGCGAUUUUUAUGAAAGAAUCCUACAAGAUGAUGGAUUCCCUCGUGAAACACUUUGGAUCGAAAAAGUUUGAUCAAUUCCAAUAAAUUUUUUAAUUUGAAACUUGCUCGAAUUGGAUUCUUUCGAUUUCCAUACCUAAGAUAUAUUAGAUAUAUUUACGAAGUUGUUUCAAUUGUUUUAUUGAUUGGCAUUAACCCUAGACCCUUGCCCCGAGAAAGAAAUUAAUACUUUCUACUCGAGCUCCAUCAUGGACUAUUUACAUUCCAAGACAACAAAAAACGAGGGGUUCUAGUGAAACAGAACCAAUGAUGUCGAGUUAAGAGCACCUUCAUUCCUACAAAAAAUGGUGGAUGUACAAAUCCACAACGGAUCGUGUCCUUCAAGUCGCACGUUGCUUUCUACCACAUCGUUUCAAACGAAGUUUUACCAUAACAUUCCUCUAAGAACCGGUAUGGAAUUGAUUCAAUUAUGGAAUCAUGAAUAGUCAUUGGUUGGGCUGAUGUAUAAACACCAUAAUCUAAAGUAUUUUCUAUAUCUUCUAUAUCUAUAGUAUAUAGAUAUAAAUAAUACUAUAGAUUAAUACUAUAGAUAUAGGGUGGAUAAAUAUUUUUCUGAAGAAGUCUUAGUAAGACCCCAUCGCUAAUAUUAAAUUGUCUAACAUUAUAAUAUUAAUUAAUAAAUAUAUAUAAUAAAAAAUUUUUUUAUAUAAAUAAAAUAAGACGAAUAAACGAAUUCUUUUUAAUUCUGCAUCUUCACGUGACUUAAUAGGAGAGAAAGAUUCAGCUUCUAAGGAAUGAUUUAAACUAUUUCUCUUUCGAAAUUUCGAAUCAAUUUCGAAAGUUCCCCUCUCGACAUCAUUAUUCCAAGAAAAUUUGAUAGUUAAAAAUAACUUUUGAUCAUCUUAGGAAAAAAGAUAAGUCUUUUUUUUUUUUUUUUCAUCUGAUUAAUAAAAUCCAAAGAAUGGGGAGGGUUUCGUAUCUAUCAAUUCGAUCAAAUAGACUGAGCAAUUGUCACCGUUUAUAGAUAUUGAAAUGAACGCCUUCCCAUCACUGAUUAACUCCUAUCUACCCCAUUCUCUGGGACUGAUGCAGCAUAAAUCAAAAGAAGGGGAUGUCCUAGUCUUUUUUUUUACGAAAUGCGAGCUGGCUGGGCACAAAGCCAAACAAGCCCAGAUUAAGUCCAGUUUUUGCUCCUUUUUUCUAUUUUAGCCUACCUCAUUGAUUAAGAAUUAAGAGACUUAGUGAAUUGAAUUAGUACCAAAAACCCCUUCUUGGCGAAAAGUCAAGAAAUCCACAAAAAAGCAAAUUGAAUCUAAUUAGGCUAAUUUAGGGGGUAGAGAAUAUGAGAUAGGGAAUAUGGAUUCUUUCGUAUCUCGAUUCAGUUUUUGAAAAAAAAAAAACGAUUCAUCGAAGAAAAAAAUCAGAAACAACAAUCACAUUCCAGCUAACAUUUCGAUUUUAAACAGAACAUUGUUAAAAAAGCAAUCUAUAUUGUCAGAGAAUAUAUAUGUUCUGGGACGGAAGGAUUCGAACCUCCGAAUAGCGGGACCAAAACCCGUUGCCUUACCACUUGGCCACGCCCCAUUUAGAUUUCUAUGCGAUACUAAUAAAGUAUAUUGCUGGUUUUGUUUGUUUGUCAACUCUAGCCCAAAUAUCUAUAGAAUCGAUUAGAUUGGUAUUCGGAUUUUUCUAUGUUUUUGGUAUGUGUAGAUAUAGAAUUCAACUUAAUUUAUUGAUCAUUACAUAUAAUUCAAUUAAGAUAUUGUAUGAAAAUAUUAUUUUUUCGAUUCUCCUUUUCUCAAAGGAGGAUUUUUGAUUGGGUGGGUUCAAAGAAAAAGAAGGAUUUUUUGUUUACCUUACUUACUUUCCUUUUCCUUAUAACUUACUUUCCUUUUCCUUAUAUAAAUAACUCAAUCAAAAUGCAAUUAUCUCCAAGAACAAAAAGUCUGUUAUGCUUAAUACCUUUAGUUUGAUCGGUAUCUGUCUUAAUUCGACCCUUUAUUCGAGUAGUUUUUUCUUCGGCAAAUUGCCCGAGGCCUAUGCUUUUUUGAAUCCAAUCGUAGAUAUUAUGCCAGUCAUACCUCUGUUCUUUUUUCUCUUAGCCUUUGUUUGGCAAGCUGCUGUAAGUUUUCGAUGAGAUCCUUAAUAAUAUCCUAGAAAAUUCAUGAUUUAUUCGAGAAAAAAUUCGAAAAUCAAUAAAAUCAGAUAAGCUUUACCGUUUGAAAUCUCGAUUCAAACAUUGAAAUUCUUGGAUAGUCACGAGAAAUCCGGCUUAACUUAAUUUCCUUCUUUUUUGGCGCUUUCCUUUCCAGUGAAAGACCUUAUUAGGCUCCUCUUGUAUAUAUAAAAAAUUUGGUUAAUGACAAACUCUUAUUAUAAAAGAAUUUCUGAAAAUUCUUUUAGAGAAAAAGCUUCGUUGCUUGGUGUCAAACUAGGAUAUGCGAUGGAUGAUCUAUUCUCUUUUUUUUUUUCAAAAAAAUCAUCUUGGAGAUUGUGUAAUGCUUACUCUCAAACUCUUCGUUUACACAGUAGUGAUAUUUUUUGUUUCUCUCUUCAUCUUUGGAUUCCUAUCUAAUGAUCCCGGACGUAAUCCUGGACGUGAAGAAUAAAAUAAAAAAGUUUUUUCCUUGCUUGAUUUUCAAAUUUUCUUAGGAUUUGGUCUAUUCCACACAUUUAACUAAGAAUAAGAACAAAGGAUUUCGAAAUUUGAAAAAAAAAAAUCAAGUCAUCAACGGAAAGAGAGGGAUUCGAACCCUCGGUACGAUUAACUCGUACAACGGAUUAGCAAUCCGCCGCUUUAGUCCACUCAGCCAUCUCUCCCAAUUGAAAAAGAUAAUUAAUACAUGAGAUAGCACAUUAAGAUAAAGGAAAGAAUCUUUCUUUCUCUCUUUUCUUCUUUCUAUAUUAUAUAGAUAUGUACAACUUUUAUCAUCAAUUUCCUUUAUCUCUUUAUCUAAAGUAAAGGAAGGGCUCAGAAGAGCCAAGAAUCUCAAGAAAAAUAAAGAAGACCUCUUUUCUUUGUCUUGAUUUUGUUCGAAAGGACCCUCUUAUUCUCAUGGCCUGGUCUGGUCAGUACCCAGCCGGGCCUCUUUUGUUCCAAUUAAUUUGAAAACAAAAAUGUCUGUUAUAGUUGUAAUAUUUCAUUUUAAUUGAAUAGUUAAUAUUCAAGCAACAAGAAAAAAUUCCCAUUUUUUAUAUUUUUAUAUAAAGUCAAAUAAAAUAUAUGAAAUAGAAAAUUCGAUCAAAAAAAAAGUCUCAUUUCUCUUUCUGCUUUUUGAUUUUAUGUUUACCAUCUUGCUGGACUAAAAAAAAAGAAGCUUUCGAGUAUUCCACAAUGCAUUUUUAUGUUAUGAUUUUAGUCGUUUUGACGACCCUAUCUUAUCCUAUCUUAAUUACCACAAUUCCCCUGUUCGACAAAAGUUGUAUUUGUAUACAAUAAUCGGAUUGUAGCGGGUAUAGUUUAGUGGUAAAAGUGUGAUUCGUUCUAUUAUCCCUUAAAUAGUUAAAGGGUCCUUCGGUUUGAUUCGUAUUCCGAUCAAAAACUUUAUUUCUUAAAAGGAUUUAAUCCUUUUCCUCUCAAUGACAGAUUCGAGAACAAAUACACAUUAUCGUGAUUUGUAUCCAAAGGUCAGUUAGACAUUGAAAAAUUGGAUUAUGAAAUUGCGAAACAGAAUUUUUGAAUUGGAUCAAUACUUCCAAUUGAAUAAGUAUGAAUAAAGGAUCCAUGGAUGAAGAUAGAAAGUUUAUUUC
rnacentral:lncRNA from 1 species